ACGAACGCUGGCGGCUGCUUAACACAUGCAAGUCGAACGGAGUGGCGAACGGGUGAGUAACGCGUGAGCAACCUGCCUAUGACAGUGGGAUAGCCUCGGGAAACCGGGAUUAAUACCGCAUAGUCAUAGAUGGGCUCGCGUCUGAUUAGCUAGUUGGUGAGAUAACAGCCCACCAAGGCGACGAUCAGUAGCCGGUCUGAGAGAAUGAACGGAGACAUUGUAGCUGAGACACGGGCCAGAAUACUACGGGAGGGAGCAGUGGGGAAUAUUGCACGAUGGGGUAAACCCUGAUGCAGCGACGGCGCGGGAACGAAGAAGGUAUUCGUAUCGUAAAGUUCUGUCCGAUGGGAAGCGGUCCCAUAGAAGAAAGCUCCGGCUAAAUACGUGCCAGCCGCCGCGGUAAUAC
rnacentral:rRNA from 1 species